AGGCCCGGGUGCCAGGAGUCGGCCUCUUGAGGGUCCUGGGUCACGUCAUGCUUCUCUGUUUUGUCUUCCCUGCCGCUGCACGCAGAUCAUCUUUGAAACCAGUGGUCACAGAAAACGGUCACGACUUAGGUCGCCUCUGCGAAUGUUAGCGCUGAAAAGAAAAAAGAAAUUAAAAAUAAAACAACUACAACCGGAAGCAAGUUGGAAAAUCAAGAAUGAAUCGCCGCUGGCUUGAAUACCUAAUUGGCCAUCUACUUUGUUUUGUAAUUUCACUGUCCGUUUUCGCCCUGCGUUUUCAGAAGCUUCUUAGAAAAGCGUCGGAAGGGGGCGUGACAUGAUCUGGCAAGGCGGUGGCCCCCUCAUCCCCGGGCGAUCCGGGUCAAGCCCCCGGGGGUCGCCCGCCCCGCCGACGGUGUACCUUCCCCGACGGCCCACCCGGGACGGGACGGAGUCCCGCCGGCAGUGAGGCGCGGCCACCGACUCACCACAGGGACUCCUCACAGAACCGGGAGGACGACAGGCUGUGGUGGAAGCGCCGGCCUCGCCGCCCGGGGCUCACGCCGUCGGUGACUGCGGGAGACGACACAGCGCCCCCGCGAGGAGACGCCCGAGCUGGGCGCGUGCGCACCACGAGGAAGCCAGGGGCCCGACGGGAGGAGAAGCCGGCGGCUGACCUCUGACCCGAGGAGGGUGACGUGACGUGGCGUCGGGACGCCGGAUAGACCGCGUCCACGUCGGACGCGAGGGGAGCUGCCCGCGUUGAGGCUGGUGGUAGCUGCGUGGGCGGUGCCCCCUGACGGAUGCCGCUGACCUGAGCCGCGUGACUCAAGGGCCGUGCUACUCACUGAGAGCCAUCAGCCAUCAGCAGCUAGCGAGCACUUGAAAAUGUGACUGAGAAACCGCAGUUUCUGGCAAUGAAGAAGGAGAUCUGAUGCUGACUGCUAACAGACUAUGGGACAAGGAGACGAACCUGCUAAAACCCUCAAGCUCACUGUUCCUCAUUGCUAGAGGCCAAGGGAAAAACGCUGAAUGCACAGAAAAUCAACAACUUUUCUGGAACCUGUUAAAGAAUUGAACUCAUGGGACAAAUGGCCACUUCAAAAUCUGGGGACAAGUGAAUACUGAGAAAGACAACUGACAUCAGCUUAGCUGGGGCAGAAACCGUAGAAACACUUACGUGGUGAACCCAGAAGAAGCCAGAGGGCCGGGGAGCAGCCCACAUAGGACACAGAGCCAGGCCAGGGAAAAAGAGGGCAACGCCUCGUGCUGGAGAGACUUUGGGGGAAAGCGCAUCGCUUCAGCUCACAGUGCAUUCGUAUCUUUGAACACAAGAUGUAUGAGGGGCAGUAGCUAUUUCUCACCGCUCCCUGGAUUUUGAGGAUAAACAAGAUAAGGGGAACAUUUCUUAGAUGUUAGUGGUCAAAUGGAUAAGGCCUUGGCCUGAAGACUUCAUCAUAAAAAUCCAUUCCUCGAUGAAAGGCACUUACAAAGACCAGCCUCCUGAAAUACCACAUGACAAAUUGACAGAACUCUAUGGUUUUGUGAUUCCUUGCAUCUACUCAUCCAUGGGGAAGAAACGUGCACAUUCAAAAGCAGCUCCUGGCCACCAUGCUCCAUGCUCAAAACCCUGUGUGUGGCUUUUGUGGCAGUGCCACGUCAUGGGCCGUCAGGGACACAGUUAUUCUUCCUCACGAGGGAGUGCUGAGGACCACGGACCGCUGUGAACCCUUUUCCCAGCUAGCAGGCUUCGUUUUCCCUUUAUGUGAUUUUCUGUCAUGAUAAAGACAGAGUUUUCACCUUGUUGCAGAACAAUUAGCACCAUGACUUUGUUUCACAAAUUACAGAACUAAUAGAAAUUUGGGCAGUUUUUUUUUUUCCAUCUCUGCCUUGUUUCAUGCUGCUUUACCUAUCAUCUCUGGGGCCUCAAGGAGCCAUAUUAUGAUCAUAGAGAUCCUGGAGCCCGUCGGACUUUGUCUUCUAGCUCAAGUGUUGCUGAAGACUCCAGUGCAGGGAAGGGAGAUGGGUGCAGGUGUAAUCAGAGAGACAGGCUGUUUCUGUGAUUUGUGAGAACUGUCAGAUAUAUAAUUAUAAAUAUAAGGUGCAAGAAGAUGAGAUUAAGAUGCUAUUUGGGGAAAAGAAAAUCCAGUUAAGGUAUCCCCAGUUUCCAAAGGGAAUAUAUAUUGCCAGAGUAAAAUAAUGGGCAAGAAGGCAGUUUUCAUUAUGCUGUGGCCUUGGCCCCAACCACAAGGCAGAACUCCGUUGCACAGAGACAUGAUCUGCCUGCACCAAGGGCAGGCUUAGGAUCUCUUACCAGUGCAGUUUUGAGGGGAGGAAAUCACUGGGAUUCCCACCCCUGAGUCUCAGAUCUCCCUGCUUGAAUGGCAAGGGUCUGAGGCAACUAUAGCACCAGCUGCAACCGCUGUGAGGCUCACUCUUCCCACUGUCUCAGUACUGCGAAACGGUUCUAAAAAGAGAGAAGGCAGCCAAAUGAAACAGAGAUGCCUGGGUUUUUGGCGUGUCUCUGCCUUGCCUCUCAGGAUUAUGGAAAAACAGCGUCAGAAGGCAGAAUGGAUAUUUAUGCAUACAAUCUCUAACUCUUUUGAAAGAUAGGCACCCAAGGGCAGUAGUCAGAUUCAUAGAAAAACUCCUCCCCCGUGAAGAUGAGCUGAGCACAGGGUCUGCAAAACAACGUACGUGUAGGUAAGCUCGUCACCAAUUUUACUCAUGUAACGUAGAGCAUUCCGUUUAUAAAUAAUAAUAAAAUAUACAAUACUUUGAUUAUGAA